GGAAAAAGAAAGAUCUUACUCGGACAGGCCAAUGGUGGCCUGAGAACGGACAGAAUCAGUCCAUAGUUGUGAGUUGAACAGCCACUUGUCCCUUGAGGACCUUAGGGUUGCAAUAAUCUGGCAUGGGGGCGUGGAGGCUAGGGGUGGUGGUGGAACCGCCACUAUUACCGACGAGACAACGGCCGGCGAGCAGGAGCCAUGGUUUAGCAGAGAGACCUUGAAAGAGAAUGAGAGGGUG
rnacentral:lncRNA from 1 species